rnacentral:rRNA from 1 species
UGAGCAAUCUGCCCUUCUCUUCGGAAUAAGCGUUGGAAACGACGUCUAAUGCCGAAUACGACCUCCUUUCGCAUGAUCGGAGGUGGAAAGCUCCGGCGGAGAAGGAUGAGCUCGCGGCCUAUCAGCUAGUUGGUGGGGUAACGGCUCACCAAGGCGACGACGGGUAGCCGGCCUGAGAGGGUGACCGGCCACACUGGGACUGAGACGCGGCCCAGACUCCGUACGGGAGCAGCAGG